AGAGUUUGAUCCUGGCUCAGGAUGAACGCUGGCGGCGUGCUUAACACAUGCAAGUCGAACGGACUUUACAUGAAGCCUAGCGAUUGUAAAGUUAGUGGCGGACGGGUGAGUAACGCGUGAAUAACCUGCCCUGUACCGGGGGGACAACAGUUGGAAACGACUGCUAAUACCGCAUAAGCGCACGGUUCCGCAUGGAACAGUGUGAAAAACUCCGGUGGUACAGGAUGGAUUCGGCGUCUGAUUAGCCAGUUGGUGGGGUAACGGCCUACCAAAGCAACGAUCAGUAGCCGGCCUGAGAGGGUGAACGGCCACAUUGGGACUGAGACACGGCCCAAACUCCUACGGGAGGCAGCA
rnacentral:rRNA from 1 species